CUAACUGGAAAAUACACAAAAAUAAAAACCUAGACCUAAUACCUAUAAAUACCCCGUAUACUCUUCAGCCGCAGGGGAGGGGAACAUUUGAAAGGUUCAGAUUUUACAUCUUAGGUAUUGUUCAUCAUCUUCUUGAACACCAAAACAAGACCAAAAACCCUAGAACCCAUGGCUACUUCUUCUUCUUAUUGAACAAACCACCAGCCUAACCACGACUCUCAUUGCACAACCAUCACCCUCAACCACGCCUGUCGCCAACCCUCGUCACAGCAACGAGCCAGAAACUCAUGCUCCUUCACGUCCACAAACCCGCCUUUUCGGUUGCCAGCAACCUCCCGUCACGCCACCAACGACAUCCAAACAACCUCCACCAGUCCAGCUCCUCUCCUCCAAAUGACCAUCGUCCUCCUCGUCGUCCCUCACCCUCACGAAAACAAAACCAAAUGAACUACUAUCGUCCACAAACCCACCAUUUAUGUCGUCCAUACAACCUUCAGCUAGCCCUUAUCCGGCUCGCCAAUGCCACCAGUCAAUACACCAGACCACCCUUUACCCGUCGUCGAAGGUCAUGGAUCGAGGUUUUGGUUCGAGGUCUUCUGGUUGGAGGUACGUUCGAGUUCGUCGUUGUUUAAGUCGUUGGUCGAGGUUCUGUUCGUUGGUUGCCGAGGUUAGAAGGUUACUGUUACUUCUUUCCAUUUCUCUUGUCUAAAUAAAUUAGAUUUUGUGAAUAAUUUGUGUUUGUAAUCCUAUGCAUGAUAGCUAAAUAUUCAGCUUAUUUGGAUGAAAUACUUGGUGUUUGAGCAUGUUAUUGCUAUUUGCCAAUUUUUGGAUUCUAACGGAAUAUAGUAUACUACUGUUUUCUUCGAUGUGCUUCUGAGUUACAUCCAAAGUUUAAUUUUGUUCUUUCAUGUUUGGUGAUUUAUUUUUUAAGAUGCCUACUAUCAUCAGCUAAGCUUUUAGACAUUAUAAAAAUAUGAAUUCAAUUCCUGAUAUGGAGUUAGGACAACUUGUAGAUUCAUUAUUACCCAAUAUUCACCUUUUCCCUAAUUUAUUUGCAAAAUUUGCUCAAGCGUUAGAAAGUAUUUAAUCAAUUCAUGAAAUAUCGUAGUCUGGCUUAGUUAAGUUAUAAAUCGUUAGGUAUAAUUUGAAGUAUGCCAUAUUAGAUAAUGCAAAUAGUGCAUGGACCUCAUUUAAGUAAUCUUGAAUCCUUAGGACUCGAGGCGUGCCGUUUAGCAAAUUCCACGGCUCUCGCAAAGUUACAACGCGAAAGUGCUUUAGGCGUGUUAGUUUAAUAAUAUUACCUUCUUAAAACUCGGGUGGCAUUGAUGCGACCCAAAUCCAAAUCUUGAUGAAGUCAAAAUGUCUCGAUGACUACGGGUGCCUUGAUGGUGACGUGGUCAAAGACGUGUUUUCACGACGUUGCAAGUCCUUUAAAAUAAAUAAUGGUAAAAGCGGGUUUGUAAAUAAAAGGCACGUAAGUUAGCAUUUAUUAAAAUUAGAUAAAAUCAAAUGCAAUAGUUGAGCGACCGUGCUAGAAUCAGGGAACCCGCGAAUGCCUAACACCUUCUCUCGGGUUAACAGAAUUCCUUAUCCGGAUUUCUAGUUCGCAGACAAUGAACAAAGUCAUCUUUUUCCUUGGUUCUGGAUUCAAUCGGUGACUUGGGACACCACUAAUCUCCAAAGUAGAGACUCUGAAUAAUUAAUAACUAUAUCCUGUUCCGAUUGUUCUUUAAUUGGAAAAACUCCUUUCCGCCCCUUUGCAGGGGUGUACAGCGAAAAAGGAGGUGUGACAGCUCUGGCGACUCCGCUGGGGAAAAGAACCCAGAUUGUUUUGUUCAGGGUUCAAAAUUCGAUCUUAGAUAAAUGUAUUUGGUUAUAUCUAAUUUUCUUACAUGUUGUGUGUGCUAAAUGUUACCGCUUUAAUAUUAUCUAAAUUGUAUAUAAACUGUGCCGACACCCUUCUCUCUCUACCUCCGGGGAUGUGCUUACUGGUAGAGACUCCCUAUUCUGUUAGUGUCAUACACUGAAAUAAGAAAGAGGCUCGGACAAGUUACGAAGCCAGAAGGCCUUUUGGUUCCCGAUAAUUUUCCCCCUCCUCGACUCGAGUUGUCCGCUCGGGUACACUGUCGAGAACACAAACCCAGGUUUUGAACCUAGAAUAAAUUGACUUCAUGCCGGAUCCCUAGUAGGAACGCUUAUUCGUAUCAUGUUGCAUUUGAAUUGAGAGACUCAACACAAGCGUUGGGUCCGUCUAGGACAAGCAACCUAAAAUGAACAUACCAUCUUGAUGCAUCCUAUGUGCUACAUGUUGCAUUUAUUCAAGGGUAAAAGGUAAUUUCGCGGACCAAUGAUAGUUGAGGGCAAAUGAAAAUGAAAAAUAAAAAAUAAAGAAAAAGAAGGACAAAGAAAAAGAGGGUGAAGUGUGAAUAUAAAGCAAGUAUGGCCUAGUUAUGUCUUUGUUUUUUUUAUUUAGAAAAAAAAAGGCAUGGAAAAUUCAAAAAGAUUUUGCAUUUUUAAAAAAUCAUUUUGUGAAAGUCAAAAAUCAAAAAAAAGAGGGAAAAAGAAAAUUCAAAAAAGGUUUUUCAUGUUUCAUCAUUUUUCAAGAAAAAACAAAAAAAGUAUAUAUGUUUUCUCUAAAUUAGUUGUUUUUUAAUUCCCAUCCGUUCCCAAUCUGCCCGAACUACGCAUACCUGAUUCUCGUCUUUCGGGGCGUGAUAUGUAGGCAACCCACAUAGGGUCCGGUCUUCUUAGUAAAUUUUAGGUUUUUGGCUUUGCGGGAUCUUAGCCAAAUUUUACACUUCUAGCCACCUUUUGGCCAAAUAAACCAUUUUGCAAAGAUAGCCUAAUCAUGUCUUGCGUGUGUGUAAUAGGGAAUGUUUUUAUCUCACAUAGUGUUGGUUUAAGUUUUCUCAUACAUGUAUGGAUUUACUUACCGGUGUUUGAGCAGGACAUAGCCUAGGACAUCUAGUCAGGAUCGUCCAUUCAGGAGUGGAUUAAAAAAAGAUUUCCUUUUCUUAUUUUUGACUCUCUUUGUCUUUUAUGUCAUUUUUUUACCUUAGUUUUAUAUAGUAACGUCGAGUUUUGUUAUUAUUAUUGUACCUUUUAUUUUUCAAGGCUGUGUAAUAAAUCAAAAUCCAAAAAAAAGAUGUUGCAUUUUAUAUUUUCGUUAUAAGUUUUCUUUAGAAUACUAAUUGUAGAAAUGAAAAAAAUGGUUUUGAGGUGGUUUUUCCUUUAGGCAAUUAAUAUCUAGGACUAAAAAGAGGCUAUUUCUCUAUUUCCUUUAUUAUAUUAAGACUAAAAUCCAAAAAAAAAAAAAUAAAGAGAGAAUUUUGUAUUAGUAUCUCUUUAUGAGUUUUCUUUUUAGGUGUUAAUUCAAAAUUCAAAAUGAUUUUCUUUUGAGCUGUUUCUUUGGAAAAUUAGCAAAAAUGAAAGAAAGAUUCUUUUUGUUUCUACUAGAAUGUUAGGAUAUUGUACAUAGAAGAAAGAAAAAAAACGUAUUUUAUCUUUGGUUUAUUUCAGAGUUCCUCCCUUAGGUAAUCAAGUUAAAAUUUGUUUUAUCUUUUUCAUGGUUUGUUUCGAGGUCUUGCAUUACGAUAUCAAAUGAAGAUUUAAAAUAUUUUUUCUGUGAUUUAUUCUUUUGAUUUUAUUCCUUAAAAAAGGGUAAAAAGAUAAUAUUUUUCUCUUCUAGGAUUUUUUCUUAAUAGAGUAUUUGCUUCGAAAAAUUAAGUUUGGAUUUUUAGGAUUUUUCCUUAAUAGAGUAUUUGCUUCUAGGAUUUCUCUUCUAGUAUUUGCUUCAAAAAGUAGCUUGAGUUUAGAAUAGGUUAUAGAGCAUUCUAUCUAGAAAAUUAAAAAAAAAGGGUUUAUUGCUGUUAUAGAACUUCCAUUCUAGAAAAUUCGAAAAAGGGUUUGCUGCUUCAUUUCACUUUUCUCAUCAGAUUAAAAAAAAGGAGAAUGUCAGUUUGUUUACUUUACUUCCGUUCUUCCCGAACUACGCAAAGAUCUGAUUCAUGCGGGGUCAUUAUACGUAGGCAACCUAUGUAGGGUUCGAUCGAAUUUUUUUUACUAAAAAAAGAAAAGAAAAAAGAAAAAGGAGAAAACGGGAUGGAAAAAUAGAAAGGAAAAGAAAAAAAGGGGUGAAAUCACGGGACGUGAGAAAUGAGAGGAAAGAAAGGAGUGAUAAUGAGAAAUAAAAAAGGAAGAAAAAUGAUCAAUAAGUGCUAGAAAAGCAAAGAGAAGAGAGGUUGAAAUGAACAAAUUGGGAUGAUGCCAACUGACCUGUGUACCCUCGAAGUCAUUUUAGAACCGAUAAUUGUGAUUAGGUGCCUUGCAUACAAUGUGAUAUUUUAGCUGUUAAAUGCCCUAACGCUAACAUGAUGGCUUCAUUUGUUUUAUUUAUAGCAUAAAGUUGGUUGGUUUGUGGUUUUAUAGUGGUAACUCUUCUAUACAACACAAGGUCAAAGAUUAAGGCAGUCAUGGCUGGCAAAGGGUUGAACAUGGGUGUUACUGAUCCUUCUAAGGAAAUUGUUGAAUCAUAAGCUGAGUUAAAACAAGAGGUUUUAAGAUUGAAAAGACAGAUGACCGAAAUAUACCAAGCUUGGAUAAAUGGUUUCCUCCUCCCUCAGUCCCUGAUGCCCAACAUUAUGCUCCAGAACCAAUUGUCAAGGCCCCGAGUCCAUACCAUCACGCUCGUCAUUUUGAGCUUUCCAGUGAGACUACGAAGCUUGCUAAAAUAGUGGAGUGGGAUGAGAUAUCCAGAAAGCUGAAAGGGUUUGAAGUUUAAUUUGUAUGAUGGGCGGAGAGAUCCAGUAGCCCACUUGAGGGAUUAUUGCAAUAAAACGAGAAAUGUUGGCAAGGAAGAUUAAUUGUUGAUAACACAUUUCAGUGAGAGUCUGAUUGGGGUAGCCUUGGAAUGGCAUGAUCGCCAAGAUGUCGGGAAGUGUCACACGCUGGGCUACAUGGCUCGAGAUUUUGUGAGACAUUUUCAUUACGGUAAAGACAUUGUCCCAAACCGUUCCUCCCUAUCUAGAAUGGAGAGGAAACCAGGGGAGAGCUUUAGAGAGUUUGGGCUCAGAUGGAAGAGCAAGCUGCCCGAGUCAAUACCCCGAUUGGUGAAGAAGAGAUGGUUGAAAUUUUCAUGCAGGCUCAGGGGCUUGCCUACUUCAAAUAUUUGACCCCAGCCGUGGGCAGACCUUUCGAUGAUGUGCUAAGAAUGGGGGAGUUCGUAGAACAGGGAAUCAAGUCGGGCAAAAUAAUGAGUUGCUCGAAAGACAUUUAGGACAUCUCGUUACGCUCGGAAAGGAGAAAGAGAAACAGAAAAAGUGAUCCAAAUGACUCUCCUGAUCAACAUUUCUAAUCGCGACAUCAUACCUGUGAAUAUUCUCGUGCAUUGGAUGACCCUACCCAACGUUACUUUUCUCCACAGGACUCCCAAAGACAUACCUCACUCUCCAAGUAACCAGCUCCACGAAAUACCUAUCCACCCUCAUGAGCAUACCAGAAACCCCUUGGGUCAGGUUUUAGGCCAAAUCAGGCAUGUAAGAACGAUAGGCUUCUGAAACGAGAAAAGGCUCUCACCCCUAUUGGAGAAUCAUAUGCCAAUAUGUUCCAAAAGUUUAAGCAAGUAGGCAUGCUGAAGCCGAUUCAGGUGAAGAUGCCAAACCCUCUGAAAUGUGAUUUCUCUCUAAAGUGUGCAUAUUGCUCAAAUGCUCCGGGGCAUGACACAGAAAAGUGCUGGAAGCUGAAGAAAGCAAUUCAGGAGCUUAUUGACACGGGUAAUAUCGUCAUGCAAAGUCCAGGCGCAUCGGACACAAGCCAAAAGCCGUCGCCUACACAUAAUGGGGUAGACAUGGUGGGUAUGAUUUGUUUUGAAAAGGAAUGUGAGAAUUCUCUAAGAGCCUUGGAGACCUAAAAACAAUUUGCUGAGGAUAAUGUGACAAAAUUUUGUAAAGUUCCUAAUGUUGGUGAUGCAAAAUUCGGUGGCUAAGAUGUCGUAUUUUGUAAUUGGCAAGAUGCUCCAUUCCUAGGUCAGUCGAGGAGGAGCUUUGGUGGUCUAUUUUGUUGUCAUUUCUGUUGUCCGGGUUAUUUCAGGGUUGUAAUUCGGAUAUUGUCUAGUGACUCAAACCCUUCUAUCCUUUUAUUUUGUCUUGUUUGUGUUGUUGAAGUAGCACGUUCAGUGUUGUUUAGGUUUGUUCCAAAGUUGUAACCCCAGUUUAGUUUGCUUAUUUUGUUGUUCGAACCGUUUCACCAUCUGUCGAAUGCAAUUCUUGUCUUUUGUUAUUUCUAGUCAUUUUUCUUUAAUUAGUUCUUUUCUAUCCAUAUGUUUAAUGCUGGUUCUGGUGACAUGACAUGCACCUGUAAUUCUAAGCCAGAGCUCAAAAGUUAGCUUAGUCGUGAAGAAUUGAAAAAAUUUUGAAGAUAGCAGGGGCACUUGAGGGAAAUAAGAAUAGAUAUGGAAAUUUUGAGAUCAGUUGAAGCCCGAACCAUGUGAAGCUGGGGAAAGUAAAACAUAAAGAAAUCGUAAAAGCAAGUUGGCCAAAUUGACAGGGGGCCUUUUGUGGUAAUGAGAGUAAGAGUGUUGGCCAAUGGUGCGUUGUAUUUAACGGAUAAAGAAGGAAAAUGUGCGGAUAUGGUUAUCAAUUCUGGCAAUAUCAAAAGAUGUUACGAAUGCUUGUUUAAUUUUCUUGUUUGUACUUGGCAUGUUUUGAAGAUUGGGAUGACGAAGGUACUUUGUUCUGCUAUCGAAACAACAUACCCCUCGUCACCCCUUUUGAGCCUUAUUUAGUUUCUUUCAUACUCCUCUUUCGGAAUCAGUAGCAAGAAUCAGAAACACAAGCAUGAAAGAUAAGAAAAGAAAAAAAAAAGAAAAAGAAUGAAAAGAAAGAGAAGGAAAAAAAAUAAGAAAAGAAAAAGAAAAAGAGGAAGAAAAAAAGAAAAGAGACAAAAAGAAAAUGAAAAUACGGAAAAGAGAAAAUAAAAACAAAGGAAAAGAGAAGAAAAUUCACAACAAAAGUAAUUUCUAUGACGUGAACUACGUUUGACUUGAUCCCGAAAGGGUACGCAUGCAGCCUCGCUAAGGUUCAGUUAUACCAAAAUAAAAGUCCAAAAAUCCCCAAGCAAGAAACUGGGGCAGAAGUUGUGGUUGUUGUGAGAAGUCUGAUUCUGAAAGUUGUAGAUUUUAACCCAUUAGAAUUGCUUUGAGCCUUUUAUACCCCUUCUUUCUAACCCUGUCCAAAAGCCCACAUUACGGUCCAAAAAAAGACCUUUUGAUAAGUCUUUAAGAGAUGCCAAGUCAAGCAAGUAGAAGUGAUUCAUGUCAGGGGCAAUACUCUGAUCCAAACAAGGAAAAUGAAAAUGAAAAUGAAAAUGAUCGAGCCAAAUUGAUGAAAACCGUCACGGGUACCACAAGGUGAUGAAUGCUGAGAGAAAUAAAAAAUGAGAGUCUUACUGGUGAAAACCUUCACAGGCACCUUGAGGUGAUGGCAAGUUGAGAGAAAGAACAAAUGAGAGAGGUUUUGUUGGUGAAAACACUUUGGGCACUACAAGCCGAAUAUGGAAUGUAAAUCAGAUUGGAUAAGCGGAGCAUUGGAGCCCAGUUUCACAGCAAAAAGGUACAGCAAGACCUGAACAUCAGAUGUGCUUAACAGAAUAGGCCACAAGUGCAUGUCAAGGUCAUUAUAGUCGGUAUCCACAUCCGAUAGGUUUCUACUUUGUAGUUUUUCUUGUUAGGAAUCAUCUCUUUCCUUUGUCCUUCACUUCGUUCCUCUGUUUUGUUCACUUCCUCUUCCUGAGUUUGUUUGGUCAUAACAAGUGAGAAUUGACUUCAAUAUUUGCCACCAGCUUUCCAAUUACACAAAAUGGGGUCUAUCUAGCACAUCAAAGUGUCACAAGUCAGGAAAAACAGCAAGAGGACUAACCUCGUAACAAUAAACACUCUUUGGGAUCCUUGUGAAAUACAAAGGCUUGGUACAUAUCAAUUUAUGAACAGGGCAACAGAUAGAGGGUAUUGGGUCUGAAUGGAUCAAAGGUAUUUUCUAUGAUAAAAUUAACAAAAAUGGUGGUGAAGCAAUGACAAGCAGGGUUUCGAGUGGAAAUCAAAGUUAAUAUGGCAAGUGAAGGAACAAAAGACCUCAAGGCAAGGGAUAAUGGUUUAAGUCAAGAAAUAACAACAUGCGCAAUGAGUGAGUCGCAAUUGUCGUACUUUGGGAUUCAUGUGAAACAAAAGGUUUUCAUGAGCAAUGCAACAGAUAAAAGGUAUUGGGUCUAAACGGAGAAGAGGUAUUUUCUGUGAUAAGGGUGGAAAAGAAAUUGGUUAGUCAAUAAGCAAGCUAUGUCUUUCAAGGUGAAAUCAAAAACAUCAUGGCAUGUGAAGGACCAAUCGCCGCAAAGUCAAGUCCACAAACCAACCACCAUGUUUAAACUGACAAGUUUUCUUUGUUUGAAGCAGGGACGGAAGCUAUAUUCAUACCAAAGCUUGGAAGGUUUAAAUUCUCAGGUGUAAUGCCCCAAUUCUGCUUACGCAAAGAGUAUUGAGAAAAUCACACAUCACCACUAGGAGAAGCAUUUCCUAGUUUGGUUUUUCAAGUUAUAUUUUCUUGUAGGAGACGCACUUUUUGAACUGAGGUUUUACCCUUAGGAGAUGCACUUCCUAGCUUGGAUCAUAUGAGUUUGAGUCACAGAUGGUUUUACCCCUAGGAGACGCACUUCCUAGUCCAAGUUUUCCAAAUUAUAUUUUUUGCUUAGGAGACACACUUCCUAAUUUGACAGUUCAUACAUAGGAGACGCACUUCCAAGUCAUUGAGAUUUUACCCCCAGGAGACGCACUUCUUGAAUUUAUGUUUCAUUUAUAGGAAACACACUUCCUAGUUUGAGUCAUUGAAUUUUAACCCAUAGGAGACACACUUCCUAAGUUGAAAGUUCAGUCGUAGGAGACGCACUUCCUAGUUUAAAUCAUUGAAAUUUCACCCCUAGGAGACACACUUCCUAUUCUGAUUCAUUGAAGUUUUACACAUAUGAGACACACUUCCUAAAUAGAGAAGUUCAUUAGCAGGAGACACACUUCCUAAAUUGAGGUUUCACCCCUAGGAGACCCACUUCCUAGUUUGAGUCAUUUAAGUUCGUCCCUAGGAGACGCACUUCCUAGUCUGGUUCAUUGAAGUUCUACCCAUAUGAGAAGCACUUCCUAUGUUGAGCUUUACCCAUAUGAGACGCACUUCCUAGUCUAAAUCAUUGAAAUUUCACCCCUAGGAGACGCACUUCCUAGUUUGGUUCAUUGAAGCUUUACCCAUAGGAGACGCACUUCCUAAAUUGAGAUGUUCAUUAGUAGGAGACGCACUUCCUAGUUUAAGUCCUUGAAGUUACACCCAUAGGAGACGCACUUCCUGAAUUGAGAUUUCACCCCUAGGAGAUGCACUUCCUAGUUUGAGUCAUUUAAGUUCAACCCUAGGAAACACACUUCCUAGUCUGGUUCAUUGAAGUUUUACUUGUAGGAGACACACUUCCUAAUCAAGGUCUUUCAAGCUAUUCUUUUAGGAAACACACUUCCUAAACUGAGAGUUCAUUCAUAGGAGACACACUUCCUAGUUUUAGUCACUGAAGUUUUCACCCCUAGGAGACGCACUUCGUAGUCUUGGUCAUUUAAGUUCACCCUUAGGAGACACACUUCCUAGUCUUGCUCAUUUAAAUCAUCUUUAGGAGACACACUUUCUAUUUUGAUUCAAUUCCAUGUCUUUGUUAUUUACAUUCACCCCUAGGAGAUGCACUUCCUAAUUUGGUUCAUUCAUGUUUAAUUUUAGCAGACGCAUUUGUUAGUCAAAGUUCUUGGUUUUACUCAUAGGAGACGCACAUCCUAGUCUAGUAUUUGGUUUACUCUCAUCAUUGCAUUAAUAGUAUAAGUGGCUUACAAUUUUGCUACAACUCACAAAUCUUCCUAGUGCAAAAUGUGGCAGAAAAUUUUGUUUGUUUUGUUUGUUUUGGUUGCAGGGUCCCACAUGGAAAACAAGGUAACACAGAAAGUUUAGCAGUCAGGAGCCCGCUUGAAGAACAGAGGUGAUACAAUUCAAAUUUAGUUUUCAAUUAAUUUCUUUGUUUAUUUUGAAGUCAGGAAUCCGCCUGGAGAACAGAGACAUGCAUUUCGAAUUUUAGCAGUCAGGAGUACGCCUGGAGAACAGAGACAUGCAUUUAAAAUUCAGAAGUCAGUAAUCCGCCUGGAGAAAAGAGACAUGCAUUUCAAGUUUCAGAAAAUAGGAGCCCGCCUGAAGAACAGAGGUGAUACAAUUAAGAUUUUGGCUUUCAGUUGGUUUCUUUGUCUAUUUUGAAUUCAGGAGCCCGCCUGGAGAACAUAGGAAUACAUUCAAGUUGCUAAAGUCAGGAGCUUGCCUGGAGAAUAGAGGAAUACAUUCAAGUUGCUGAAGUCAGGAGCCCGCCUGGAGAAUAGAGGAAUACAUUCGAGUUUUGAAGUCAGGAGCCCACCUGGAGAACAGAGGUAUUACAAUUCAAAUUUUAGUUUUUAAAUUCUCAUCCAGUAACAUGUACCAGUUUUCAAACUGAGGCAGAAAGGUUUUUUUCGUUGUGACUAUUUUUUGAAGUCGGGAGCCUGCCUGGAUAAUAGAGGAAUACAUUAAAGUUCAGGAGUUUGAAGAAGGGAUAACAUCUCAGUUAACAAUUAAAAGCGGCAACAAUGGAUUUCACCUGGAGAGCAAGGGAAGACAACUCAAUUUUCAAGGGAAAGCAGUAUCGACGGAAAACAAAUCAAGUUCAAGGGAAAGCAGUUUCGAAGGAAGACAGUUCAAGUUUCAAGGGAAAAUGGUUUAAGGUGUAGAGCAGGUUUGACCUCAAGGCAUACGAUUCGAGAUGGCAGCAAGAAUGAGUCUCACUCCAAAAUAAAGAAAAGAAAAAAAAGAAAAUAAAGAAAGAAAAAGAACAGAAGAAGUGCGCUCCAAAGUUCAGAAGCAGGGAAAGAUUUGAACUGCUCAAGACAUGGUUGAAGUCAUGAGAACUACAUGCCCGGUCUUGAUCCAAAAGCUGAAGAAUAUUGAACCAACACCUGUGGCUAACAAGCAUCAUGAAUCAGAUCAAGGUCCACAUGAAGUACCAACCAAGACUCAAGAUCAAGCUUCAUAAGACUCAUAGAUAGGAAUCUUGUAACUCGUAGCUGAUAUGCUUAGUUAUUCUUUUUCAGUUUUGAUUUUGAUGGAAUAACAGAACUGCGGACCGGAGCCUCAGACGGAACCUUGACUCGCAACCUCGGUACUCCAUUAGCUCGUUCACUUCUGAACUACACGUGGCCUGAUUCCUUUAUAGCCAAGGAUAUGUAGCCAGCCAGAUACUAAGGCUCGGUCACAUUCCUUUUUUUAUUUUAGUCUCUCUAAAUAAGGGUCGGGUUGAAAAACAUAUCUAGUCGUUCUUUUUAUGAAAACUCUUUGUGUUUCUAGUCAAAGAGGGGCAGUUGUAGAUAUGUGAUUUUUGACCCUCCCCAAGAUUUUUUAUGUUUUAGCGUAAAGUAUUUAGUUUAGUCCUAAUAUAUCUAUUUCAGCUAAUUUUGGCUCUUUUACUUUAUUUUCGUCACAAAAAAUAAAAAUUAAAAAAAAAUAUAUAAUAAGUUAGUUUAUGUGUUUCUUCUAAAUUUGAAAAAUACAAAAAUAGUACCUUAUUUUUAUCUUUAUAUAAUUUCGAAAAUACGAAAAAAAAAUAGUUUCAUUAAUGUUUUGUAGUUACUUUAAAUUUGAAAAAAUGAAAAAACCUUAUUUUUUAUCUUUAUAUUUCGAAAAUCCAAAAAAAGUUUUAUGUUCAGUUUAAUUAAUUAGGAAUAAUUUUUAUGUGGCGUAGUAUUUCUAUCCUAUUUUUAAAAGUCAUUUUCUUUGUUAGAGACCCUUUUAGACUCUUAUUUAGGAAAAAAAAUAAAUAAAAAGACCCUAGGAGCUUAACUCAAAAUGACCUAAAUGACUUAGGGACUAACUGGCAAAUACACAAAAAUAAAAACUUAGACCUAAUACCUAUAAAUACCCCAUAUACUCUUCAGCCGCAGGGGAGGGGAACAUUUGAAAGGUUCAUAUUUUACACCUUAGGUAUUGUUCAUCAUCGUCUUGAACACCAAAACAAGACCAAAAACCCUAGAACCCAUGGCUACUUCUUCUUCUUCUUGAACGAACCAGCAGCCCAACCACGCCUCUCAUCGCACAACCAUCACCCUCAACCACGCCAGUCGCCAACCCUCGUCACAGGUGCGUGUAUUGCUCCAAUUCCCCUGGGCAUGACAUAGAGAAGUGUUGGAAUCUGAAGAAUGCGAUUCAAAAGCUUAUUGAUGCAGGUGACCUUGUCGCGCCAAAUGAAGAUGCAGCAGGCACCAACCAAUGUCCAUCGCUUGUGAAUAAUAAGACGCACAUGAUGGGUGUGAUUUAUUUUGAAAAGGAAUAUGAGAAUUUUUCUGAGAGCCUCGGAGUUCCACAUGCUGCUAAGCUUUUAGCGGUAUUAGAGGUUGAUCCUGAAAACGGGUUGGCAAAAGGAACCCAAAAAAAAUUUGUUAAGAACAAUGUGAUGAAGACUUGUGAAGUUCCUAGUAUUGUUGAUGUCGAAUUUAGUGGCUAAGAUGUUGAGUUUGAGGAUUGGAAAGACGCUCUUUUCUUGGUUAGCCAGGGAGGAGUUUUGGUGGUUCACGUUGUUGUCAUUUCUCUUAUCCGAGUUAUUUCAGGGUUGUAAUCUGGAUAUUGGCUUGUGAUUCAAACCUUUCUAUCCUUUUAUUAUGUCUAAUUACUUUAUUCAUAGUAUCUCAUGGGACCAAAUUGGCACAUUUUAAAAUAAUUGUUCCAUUUGGGACCAAAGAUGAUCCCAAGUUCCUGAAGAUAUACUGUUUUUAUUUUUGAGUGAGAGACUCGACGUCGAAUCCCCGCAGCACCAAAUAGAUAUCUAAAACGGAGCAAGCUGAGAAAACUAGCGAUAUGAUUACCAGAUAAUCCGACUCGAGUUCGAGUCUCAGGCACCACGAGCCUCUUUGAAUAUGAAUCACUUAGUUCCAUAGAGAAAUACAGACCUUAAUUAACUACCUUAUUCACAGCAAAUAAGAACCCACCAAUUAAUCAAUAAAUUCGAAUUGAAAUACGCAUGCUAAAAUAUUAUCAGAAUUCCAACAACUGGACCUGAAUCAACCUAUCACUUAAUGUAACUUUCUAAUCACAGAACCAUAGAUUAAAACACAAAGCAGGCCUGCAUUCCUUUUAUUAACAUGUCUAAACAUGGAAUAACCAAAACCAAAAUGUACUGAACUUCAUGCAUUGAAUUCAAACACUGCAUACAAUAACAUACCAAAGAAGUAAUACGCAAUACAUGUACUAGAAAAAAACCCUGUAUUUAGCUAAUAGAAAUUACUAUAUUAGCCUUCGCUACAACUAAAAGAACUAGCUAAUCCAAAUAUAUCUCAUGAGUUCAAAAACAGUAUCUAGUUAAUUACAUAACAUGAUGAUCUAUAUAUCAACAAGGCUAAUGUACUAUAUCGAUUCGAAUGAACUCAACCCCCAUCAGCCAAAGCGUAGACAACAGAAUAUUUUGGAUUCAAAAAAUGAGAUAACACAGCCCGAAAAAAAACUUCAAACCAAUAGCUAACCCAACAAAUUUUGAGGAAUCAAAACCACUAAAAAUCAGUCCCAAUCAAUGGAACAGUAAACUUCAACAAAUCUCAGACCAAAACCCUUUCAAACUCAAGAUCAAACCAUCUCAAAUUCCCAAAAUGAACCAGAUUGUUUUAGAGUGAAGAACCUAAAAACUAGAAACAAAAUUCAAUAGAACAGUGAUUUCUUUUAAAGUUUUUCCUAGCCGCCUCUGACUUUCUGUGUUUUAGCUCUUAAAAUUCUCUCUUGAAAGGCAAGGAAAAGUGCCUUUAUAGGCAAGCCAAUAGGGAAAUCUUCAGAUUUUAGUUUUUACACUUUACCCCUUUUCGAAUUUUCAUUUUUGCUUAGCUAACCUCUAAUUAUUGACUUGCUACCCAAGUUUUAAUAACUAUACAUCUGAAAUUUCACUAACGCCCCUUACUAGAAGUUUCCAAAUUAGUUACUAAGAGAUUCCCUAUGUCCUAUUUCCAAAACGACCCCUUUAUGACCCUGUUAUUACCCCCUAAACUCAAUGGGUCCAACUGACCCAAGAAUUAAGCCAGCCUUGGGCUUAACAAGAACAACUCGGAUUCUUGCCCAUUUGGGCUUUCUAAUUUCCAGAAACCAAAUUCAGGCCAUAAACCAUAAUCAACAAUCCUAAUAGGUUGAACAAGAAAUCUCAGUAGAAAACCAGCUAUUCUUUAGCAAGAAACCAAAAUAAAAAAAAUAGGCGAGAAUUAAUCCCAUGAGACAAUUCAAACAAACUAAACAUUUAACAAAUUAAAGCAUGCAAACAGAUACAAAUAAAAUAAAAGAACAAAUAUGUGACAAAGAGGAGAAGAGGAGAUGGAGAAGAGAUUAAGACCUGAAUUUAAACUAAGACGAAGAACAAAGAGAAUGAUAACUGAGAACACCUAACGUGGAUGGCCAACCUUGAAGUCACUCUUCGACCUUUCGAUUAUGACCAAAAGGAGUCUUAAUCAUGUGUUCACAAGGGAAAACACAUGAACAAGAUCUAUCUUGGCCUCAAUCUUUAAUAACUCCGUCGAUUUUGGAAUCUGGAAAUAUUAGGUUUCAAGUUUAAGAUUUGAUGACUUCAAGCAAUAUUUGAGGGCAAUGGGUUAGCUAGAGGGUGCCGUGGUUGGUCUAGGGUAUCAAUCUGGGGUCGAUUGGGGAAAUUUGGGUUAGACCUCCCCUCUUCAAUUCACAAUUCGAGCAGUUUGGUUGGGAUUUGAGGGAAAAAGGGGUGUGGAUUUGGAAAUAGGAGGAAGAGAAGAAGCUAGGGUGUAAUUUUGGUGGAGAUUAGAGCAACGCCACCGGCGGAGAUGAUUUUUGGAAGGAGGUGUGCGGCGGAGAUGGUGGGGGUUCUCUGAGGAGUGGGGUGAAAGAGACAGGAUUGGGGCGGUAGGGUGUUGUUCGGACACUUAUAUAUUGAGAUGACACCACU
rnacentral:lncRNA from 1 species